CCCUUAGAUGUUCUCGGCCGCACACGCGCUACACUGAAAGAGGCAACGUGUUUGCCUGAUUCGAAAGAAUUGGGUAACCCCCUAAUCUCUUUCGUGCUGGGGAUUGAGGUUUGCAAUUAUCCUUCAUGAACGAGGAAUUCCCAGUAAGUGCGAGUCAUUAUCUCGCGCUGACUACGUCCCUGCCCUUUGUACACACCGCCCGUCGCUACUACCGAUUGAAUGAUUUAGUGAGGACUUCGGACUGGGACCGAUGCGGCUUUCGGGCUGCGUCGGUAUUCUGGAAAGAUGUCCAAACUGUAUCAUUUAGAGGAAGUAAAAGUCGUAACA
rnacentral:rRNA from 1 species